rnacentral:rRNA from 1 species
UACAGAGGUCCCGAGCGUUGUUCGGAUUCAUUGGGCGUAAAGGGUGCGUAGGCGGUCUGCUAAGUUUGGUGUGAAAUCCCGGGGCUCAACCCUGGAAUGGCAUUGAAUACUGGCGGACUAGAGUACCGGAGAGGAAACUGGAAUUUACGGUGUAGCAGUGAAAUGCGUAGAGAUGUGGAGGAACACCGAUGGCGAAGGCAGCCCCCUGGGUCAAGAUUGACGCUCAUGCACGAAAGCGUGGGGAGCAAACAGG